CUGUCCUCAACACCGGCACGGCACGUCAAAGUGGUGGGUGAUUUGUCGACUUGCUCAUAUCACAGCCAGCUUUGAUGUGCUGUAAUGGGCAAAGGGGCGUCUCUC
rnacentral:pre_miRNA from 1 species